rnacentral:ncRNA from 1 species
UAGCGUACGGACUUAAUUGGAUUGAGCUUGGUAUGGAAACCUACUAAGUGAGAACUUUCAAAUUCAGAGAAACCCUGGAAUUAAAAAUGGGCAAUCCUGAGCCAAAUCCUGUUUUACGAAAAUAAACAAAGGGAUAGGUGCAGAGACUCAAUGGAAGCUGUUCUAACAAAUGGGGUUUGACUACCUUUGCGUUAGUAAAGGAAUCCUUCUAUCGAAACUACAGAAAGGAUGAAAGAAUUGUUGUGAAUUAGUAUUGAUUCUAAGUUGAAGAAGGAAUCGAAUACAAUAUUCAUUAAUAAAAUCAUUCACCCCAUAGUUUGAUAAAUCUUUUGAACAACUGGUUAAUCGGACAAGAAUAAAGAUAGAGUCCCGUUCUACAUGUCAAUACUGACAACAAUGAAAUUUAUAGUAAGAGGAAAAUCCGCGACUUUUAAAAUCGUGAGGGUUCAAGUCCCUCU